CCCUAGCCCAGAUGGGAAUGGCAUCCUUUUAUAUCUUGUUUUUUACAAGAUAUAAAAGAUAGAAUGUACAGCUGGAAAAAGC
rfam:Flavobacterium sp. FPG59 Contig_70, whole genome shotgun sequence.